UUUUUUUUUUUUUUUUUUUUUUUUUUUUUAAGGUUUUUCUUUUUUUUAAUAAGAAAAGCUUUACAAAUGACUGA
rnacentral:ribozyme from 12 species